UGGAGUUUCCUGUCUAUCUGAGGUCUUCUAAAGGUAUCAGCACUCACCAUUCUGAUCAUUAAUGGCCUCCUCUAUAUGAUCUCUGAUCUCCAAUGUACAAGAUCACAGAACUGUCUAGAACUCAUGUUAUAUAUUCAACUUGUUUCUCUUCUGUCUUCUGGAUUGGUGAUGCUUCCUGUUUCAGUUUCAUCUGCAAAUCAUAAGUUCAUAAUGAUUCUUUGUGAAGAAAAAUGUUUCAAGAUACUUAAGUCAUGCAAGACCUCUUCUAUUAACUUCCUUCACUCCAGCUGUAUUCAUCACUACUCAUUUUGCAUUUACCUCAUUAGUCCAUUUUUCAAGAUAGCCAAAAAUAUCCAGUUUAAUUACCUGUCACAUUAAAUGAUCUUACAGAAAUCAAGCAGUCUACAUGACUGCCUUCUCUUAUUAGAUCAGUUUUUUCAUCCCCCAAAAGAUAUCAGUAUAACGUUCUGUGCUUUAUCCUGUUUUUGCCUAUUUCUGCCUUUGCAUAUUUACUUGUUUCUUGAAAAAUUGCCUCUAAGCCUAAUAUUCUAUGACGUGUUGUGCAAACUGACAUUUUCAAUAAAUGCACAAAGCUUGCUGCUCACAAAACUUAAGAUACUGCUUCAUCUUGAAAUAAUAAAAAAAAAAUGGCAAAAAUAUCCCAACAGUUUCCAACAAAGUAAUGUAAACAAAUAUUCCCAAUAUUCUCAGGCUCAUACAUUUUCCCCAAAGAUUUGCAUUUUUUUGUGUAAGAUAAAAUUGGUGAUAGGGAAAAUAUGUUGGCAAGAAAAUUCUAAUUACUAUAUAUUAGCUUUUAGAAUUGGAUAAUCCUUCAUUCCUGAAUUAAGAAGCCUUUGUAGAGUUUGGCAGAGUAGACUUUUUGUAUCAUGUAUUUCCUUUCAAGUUUGGGCCUCAGUCUGAUGCUUUCUGACAUCAGCCCAUCCCACAUCUG